UAUUUAUUAGAUAAAAAACCAACGCCCUUCGGGGCUCCUUGGUGAAUCAUAAUAACUUAACGAAUCGCAUGGCCUUGCGCCGGCGAUGGUUCAUUCAAAUUUCUGCCCUAUCAACUUUCGAUGGUAGGAUAGUGGCCUACCAUGGUGGCAACGGGUAACGGGGAAUUAGGGUUCGAUUCCGGAGAGGGAGCCUGAGAAACGGCUACCACAUCCAAGGAAGGCAGCAGGCGCGCAAAUUACCCAAUCCCGAUACGGGGAGGUAGUGACAAUAAAUACUGAUACGGGGCUCUUUUGGGUCUCGUAAUUGGAAUGAGAACAAUUUAAAUCCCUUAACGAGGAACAAUUGGAGGGCAAGUCUGGUGCCAGCAGCCGCGGUAAUUCCAGCUCCAAUAGCGUAUAUUAAAGUUGUUGCAGUUAAAAAGCUCGUAGUUGAACCUUGGGUCUGGCUGGCCGGUCCGCCUCACCGCGAGUACUGGUCCGGCUGGACCUUUCCUUCUGGGGAACCUCAUGGCCUUCACUGGCUGUGGGGGGAACCAGGACUUUUACUGUGAAAAGAUUAGAGUGUUCAAAGCAGGC
rnacentral:rRNA from 1 species